CUGCACUAUUUGUAGCCGCAAUUCAACAUCGAGGUCGCAAACAAUUAUUUUAAUAAGGGCUUAAAUAAUUAUAACGCUGUUAUCCCUAGAGUACCUUAUUCGUCUAAUUUAAUAAAGAUCAUUGUUAAUAUAAAUAGUCCUAUUUAAAUUUACCCCAAAUAAACUUGUGUACAAUUAUUACUUCAUUAAUUAAGUAAAGGUUCAUAGGGUCUUCUCGUCAAAAUGCAGG
rnacentral:rRNA from 1 species